rnacentral:rRNA from 1 species
UACGUAGGUGGCAAGCGUUGUCCGGAUUUACUGGGCGUAAAGAGCGCGCAGGCGGUCGUUCAAGUCGCGUGUGAAAGCCCCCGGCUCAACUGGGGAGGGUCACGCGAUACUGAUCGACUCGAAGGCAGGAGAGGGAAGUGGAAUUCCCGGUGUAGUGGUGAAAUGCGUAGAUAUCGGGAGGAAUACCAGUGGCGAAGGCGGCCUUCUGGACGGAUACUGACGCUGAGGCGCGAAAGCCAGGGGAGCAAACGGG